rnacentral:rRNA from 1 species
GUGAGGAAUAUUGCGCAAUGGCCGAAAGGCUGACGCAGCGACGCCGCGUGAAGGAUGAAGUCCGUUAGGAUGUAAACUUCUUUUGCAGGGGAUGAAUGUUCCGGUUUCCGGAAUUGACCGUACCCUGCGAAUAAGGAUCGGCUAACUACGUGCCAGCAGCCGCGGUAAUACGUAGGAUCCGAGCGUUGUCCGGAAUUACUGGGUGUAAAGGGCGUGUAGGUGGGUCUCUAAGUCGGUGGUGAAAUCCUGCAGCUCAACUGCAGAACUGCCAUCGAUACUGGAGGUCUUGAGUACGGCAGAGGGAGAUGGAAUUCAUGGUGUAGCGGUGAAAUGUGUAGAUAUCAUGAAGAACACCGGUAGCGAAGGCGGUCUCCUGGUCCGUAACUGACACUGAGGCGCGAAAGCGUGGGGAGCAAACAGGAUUAGAAACCCUAGUAGUCC